AACUAUAUGAUCUAGUAUAUACUAUAGGACAUUUUGUAGUAAGGCGUUUAUUAUUUUAAUGUAGGUUGAUCUUAGUUUGUGGGGGUAUAAUCUGGCAUACUGUGAUAAUAAUUUAUAUACAUUUUAGGCUGAAUCUACUAAAAAUAUAAGAUAAACUAGGAUUUGAUACCCUAUUAUAUAUAUUUGUAAUCUUUAAUUUGUUAGGGUACUACGAGCAUUAAAGCUUAAAACCUAAAGGACAUGGCGGUAUUUAGAAUUAAUCAGGGGAGCUUGCUUCAUAAUCGAUAAUCCACGUUAGACCUAACUGUCUUAAUUAGCUUGUAUACCGUUGUUUUCAGUUAACCUUUAAUAGUAUUUAAGUUGGCUUAACAAUUUUUUAUUAUUAAUUCAAAUCAAGGUGCAGCUUAUGGGUCAGGGAGGGUGGGCUACAAUUAUAAUAUUUAUUUUCUGAUGAUUGGUUAAAAUACCUUUUUGAAGUUGGACUUGAAAGUAAAGUAUUUU
rnacentral:rRNA from 1 species